rnacentral:tRNA from 2 species
GGCGGCAUAGCCAAGUGGUAAGGCAGAGGACUGCAAAUCCUUUAUCCCCCGGUUCAAAUCCGGGUGCCGCCUCCA